AAGUUAAUUUUAAAAGCACCAAAAAUCAUGAGGACUAAUGGCGAAAAUAGUCCAUUUUGAACCCUAUAUAAUCCCAUUUUAGAACCCUAAAAUCAAUUCCCUUCUGCCAUUUGAAGAUUUGCGCCGCAGCCUCCCUUUCUCUGCCAUUCUCCCAACCCCGACCAAAUAACGACGAACGAGGGCGCCCGACGACGGCGUGGGUGUUGUGCGAGUGGACGUGCAAGCGAAGACGCGAGGCGGUUAUUGCGACGUGUGCUGAAGCUGCUGCAACAGAAGCAACUUCUGGGUUUUCUGUUACCUUAGGUCAAUUGGGCCUUGUAGUUGGGAUUAGCCCAAAUUUAUUUGGGCUAGGUAAAAUAGAUUUUUUAUUUUUAAAAUUAGGCCAAAAUUGGCCUAUUACAAUUAUGAUUAUGUUUUUUGAGAUUUAUUGGCUUGAAAAUAUUUUUUAAGUAUUCAUGCGAAUCUCUAUUUAAUCAUAAAUACAAUUUUAGAUUUAUGUGGUA